UAUGCAAGUGAUGAAAAAACAGACAGGGACAUCAGAACUCCAUUCGGAGGAAUGAUGAUUUGUCAAACAAUGGGAAUCUCUUUGAUGCAUG